UGCCGGUGUCAAACCGGAGGAAGGUGGGGAUGACGUCAAGUCCUCAUGCCCCUUACGUCCAGGGCUGCACACGUGCUACAAUGGUCGGUACAAAGGGCUGCAAACCCGCGAGGGAGAGCGAAUCCCAUAAAGCCGAUCUCAGUUCGGAUCGCAGUCUGCAACUCGACUGCGUGAAGUUGGAGUCGCUAGUAAUCGCAGAUCAGCAUUGCUGCGGUGAAUACGUUCCCGGGCCUUGUACACACCGCCCGUCACACCACGAAAGUUGGUAACACCCGAAGCCAGUGGCCCAACCCUUGGGAGGGAGCUGUCGAAGGUGGGAUUAGCGAUUGGGGUGAAGUCGUAACAAGGUAGCCGUACCGGAAGGUGCGGCUGGAUCACCUCCUUUCUAAGGAGCA
rnacentral:rRNA from 1 species